rnacentral:rRNA from 1 species
AAAGAUUAAGCCAUGCAAGUCUAAGUAUAAGCAACUAUACGGCGAAACUGCGAACGGCUCAUUAUAUAAGUUAUCGUUUAUUUGAUAGCACCUUGCUACUUGGGUAACCGUGGUAAUUCUAGAGCUAAUACAUGCCAAAAAUCCCGACUUCGGAAGGGAUGUGUUUAUUAGAUUCAAAACCAAUGCCCCCUGGGCUCACUGGUGAUUCAUGAUAACCGCUCGAAUCGCACGGCCUUGCGCUGGCGAUGGUUCAUUCAAAUUUCUUCCCUAUCAACUUUCGAUGUUUGGGUAGUGGCCAAACAUGGUUGCAACGGGUAACGGAGGGUUAGGGCUCGACCCCGGAGAAGGAGCCUGAGAAACGGCUACUACAUCCAAGGAAGGCAGCAGGCGCGCAAAUUACCCAAUCCCGACACGGGGAGGUAGUGACAAUAAAUACCGAUAUAGGGCUCUUUUGGGUCUUAUAAUUGGAAUGAGUACAAUUUAAAUCCCUUAACGAGGAACAAUUAGAGGGCAAGUCUGGUGCCAGCAGCCGCGGUAAUUCCAGCUCUAAUAGCGUAUAUUAAAGUUGUUGUGGUUAAAAAGCUCGUAGUUGAACCUUGGGCCUGGCUGGCCGGUCCGCCUCACCGCGUGCACUGGUCCGGCCGGGCCUUUCCCUCCGCGGAACCCCAUGCCCUUCGCUGGGCGUGGCGGGGAAACGGGACUUUUACUUUGAAAAAAUUAGAGUGCUCAAGGCAGGCAUAUGCUCGAAUACAUUAGCAUGGAAUAAUGAAAUAGGACGCGCGGUUCUAUUUUGUUGGUUUCUAGGACCGCCGUAAUGAUUGAUAGGGACAGUCGGGGGCGUCAGUAUUCAACCGUCAGAGGUGAAAUUCUUGGACCGGUUGAAGACUAACUACUGCGAAAGCAUUCGCCAAGGAUGUUUUCAUUAAUCAGGAACGAAAGCUAGGGGAUCGAAGACGAUCAGAUACCGUCGUAGUCUUAGCCAUAAACUAUGCCGACUAGGGAUCGGGCGAUGUUAUUCUUUGACUCGCUCGGCACCUUCCGAGAAAUCAAAGUGCUUGGGCUCCAGGGGGAGUAUGGUCGCAAGGCUGAAA